UGGAUGACUCGCGCCUAUCAGCUGGUGGUGAGGUAAUGCUCACCAAGGCGACGACGGGUAGCCGCCUUGAGAGGGUGACCGGCCACACUGGGAAUGAGACACGGCCCAGAUUCGUACGGGAGGCAGCAGUGGGGAAUAUUGCACAAUGGGCGCAAGCCUGAUGCAGCGACGCCGCGUGAGGGAUGACGGCCUUCGGGUUGUAAACCUCUUUCAGUAGGGAAGAAGCGAAAGUGACGGUACCUGCAGAAGAAGCACCGGCUAACUACGUGCCAGCAGCCGCGGUAAUACGUAGGGUGCGAGCGUUAUCCGGAAUUAUUGGGCGUAAAGAGCUCGUAGGCGGUUUGUCGCGUCUGUCGUGAAAGUCCGGGGGCUUAACCCCGGAUCUGCGGUGGGUACGGGCAGACUAGAGUGCAGUAGGGGAGACUGGAAUUCCUGGUGUAGCGGUGGAAUGCGCAGAUAUCAGGAGGAACACCGAUGGCGAAGGCAGGUCUCUGGGCUGUAACUGACGCUGAGGAGCGAAAGCAUGGGGAGCGAACAGUGAUUAGAUACCCUGGUAGUCCAUGCCGUAAACGUUGGGCACUAGGUGUGGGGACCAUUCCACGGUUUCCGCGCCGCAGCUAACGCAUUAAGUGCCCCGCCUGGGGAGUACGGCCGCAAGGCUAAAACUCAAAGGAAUUGACGGGGGCCCGCACAAGCGGCGGAGCAUGCGGAUUAAUUCGAUGCAACGCGAAGAACCUUACCAAGGCUUGACAUGUUCUCGAUCGCCGUAGAGAUACGGUUUCCCCUUUGGGGCGGGUUCACAGGUGGUGCAUGGUUGUCGUCAGCUCGUGUCGUGAGAUGUUGGGUUAAGUCCCGCAACGAGCGCAACCCUCGUUCCAUGUUGCCAGCACGUAAUGGUGGGGACUCAUGGGAGACUGCCGGGGUCAACUCGGAGGAAGGUGAGGACGACGUCAAAUCAUCAUGCCCCUUAUGUCUUGGGCUUCACGCAUGCUACAAUGGCCGGUACAAUGGGUUGCGAUACUGUGAGGUGGAGCUAAUCCCAAAAAGCCGGUCUCAGUUCGGAUUGGGGUCUGCAACUCGACCCCAGAAGUCGG
rnacentral:rRNA from 1 species